GACGAACGCUGGCGGCGUGCUUAACACAUGCAAGUCGAACGAAGUGGCGAACGGGUGAGUAACGCGUGAUCAACCUGCCCCUCCGAGGGGGAUAACACUGAGAAGCAGGUGCUAAUACCGCAUACUGAUGGAUGGGCCCGCGGUGCAUUAGCUAGUUGGUGGGGUAAAGGCUCACCCAGGCCACGAUGCAUAGCCGACCUGGGAGGGUGAUCGGCCACACUGGGACUGAGACACGGCCCAGACGCCUACGGGAGGCAGCAGUAGGGAAUCUUCGGCAAUGGACGAAAGUCUGACGGAGCAACGCCGCGUGAGUGAGGACGGCCUUCGGGUUGUAAAGCUCUGUUAAUCGGGACGCGGUACCUGAAUAGAAAGCCACGGCUAACUACGUGCCAGCAGCCGCGGUAAUUC
rnacentral:rRNA from 1 species